CAAUCUAUCUCGCAGUAGUGGUGGCAGUGUGUUUGGUUGUGAUCUUCACUCAAGCAUUUAUAAUCUGUCAAAAGAGGCACUGUGACCAAUCUAGAGUGAGACCCCAGCAACAUUCUGUGGUAUUGCAACCAGCCAACCUGGGCCACGAUGAUUCGGUGGAACUGAAUUACGCUGCUUUACAUUUCAAUAAGAAGAAUACCAAAAGAGUGACAAGAAAGAGAGAAAAAUCUGAAGACUGUGUUUAUUCUAAAGUGUCAUCUGAUACUUAGAUUAUAUAGUCCCCUGCAAAACUACUGGAACAGCAAGGCUGAUUGUGUUUAUUGUAGACCUAAGGCAUUUGGGUUUUAGAUCAAAAGAUGAAUAUGAUAAAAGAGUUUAGAAUUUCAGCUUUUAUUUACUGGUAUUUACAUGCAGUUAUGUUAAACUACAUAAAACAUAGCAUAUUUUGUAUUAGACCACCCGAUUUUUAGGUGAGCAAAAAUAUUGGAACACAU